rnacentral:rRNA from 1 species
UACGGAGGGAGCUAGCGUUGUUCGGAAUUACUGGGCGUAAAGCGCGCGUAGGCGGCUUUGUAAGUUAGAGGUGAAAGCCCGGGGCUCAACCCCGGAAUUGCCUUUGAUACUGCAAAUCUCGAGUCCGGAAGAGGUGAGUGGAAUUCCUAGUGUAGAGGUGAAAUUCGUAGAUAUUAGGAAGAACACCAGUGGCGAAGGCGGCUCACUGGUCCGGUACUGACGCUGAGGUGCGAAAGCGUGGGGAGCAAACAGG